rnacentral:tRNA from 1 species
GCAAACCGGGCAUUUACCGCUCUCCUAAAGCGGGUGUCGCAGGUUCGAAUCCUGCCGGGGGCA